UACCAGCUCUCCGAGUGGUGUGGAUGUUUAUUGGGCCUAAAGCAUCCGUAGCUGGCUGGACAAGUCCCCUGUUAAAUCCACCGAUUUAAUCGUUGGAGUGCGGGGGAUACUGUUCGGCUAGGGGACGGGAGAGGCAGACGGUAUUUUCGGGGUAGGGGUGAAAUCCUAUAAUCCCGGGAAGACCACCAGUGGCGAAGGCUGUCUGCUAGAACGCGCCCGACGGUGAGGGAUGAAAGCUGGGGGAGCGAACCGGAUUAGAUACCCGGGUAGUCCCAGCUGUAAACGAUGCAGGCUAGGUGUUUGGGCGGCCACGUGCCGCUCUAGUGCCGCAGGGAAGCCGUUAAGCCUGCCGCCUGGGGAGUACGGCCGCAAGGCUGAAACUUAAAGGAAUUGGCGGGGGAGCACCACAAGGGGUGAAGCUUGCGGUUU
rnacentral:rRNA from 1 species